rnacentral:rRNA from 1 species
GAUGAACGCUGGCGGCGUGCCUAAUACAUGCAAGUCGAGCGAAGCGGGGACGGGUGAGUAAUACGUGGAUAACCUCCUAUAAAACGGGGAUAACAUCGGGAAACCGGACUUAACCCGGAUACAUAUAGAUGGAUAUGCGCUGCAUUAGCAAGUUGGUAAGGUACCGGCUUACCAAGGCAACGAUGCCUAGCCGACCUGAGAGGGUGAUCGGCCACACUUGGACUGAGACACGUGCCAGACUCCUACGGGGGGCAGCAGUGGGGAAUCUUCCGCAAUGGGCGAAAGCCUGACGGAGCAACGCCGCGUGAGUGAUGAAGGUCAUAGGAUCGUAAAGCUCUUUUAGUAGGGAAGCGGUACCUAAACAGGAAGCCACGGCUAACUCCGUGCCAGCAGCCGCGGUAAUAC